rnacentral:rRNA from 1 species
UAGCCUCGGGUGGGGGAUAACCUCGGGAAACUGAGGCUAAUACCCCAUAGGCCUCGGAUACUGGAAGGUUCCGAGACCGAAAGCUCCGGCGCCCGAGGAUGGGUCUGCGGCCUAUCAGGUAGUUGGUGGUGUAAAGGACCACCAAGCCUACGACGGGUACGGGCCCUGAGAGGGGGAGCCCGGAGAUGGACUCUGAGACACGAGUCCAGGCCCUACGGGGCGCAGCAGGCGCGAAACCUUCGCAAUGCGCGAAAGCGCGACGAGGGGAGCCCGAGUGCCCUUCCUUUCGGGAGGGCUUUUCUGGAGCCUAAAAAGCUCCAGGAAUAAGGGCUGGGCAAGACGGGUGCCAGCCGCCGCGGUAAUACCCGCAGCUCGAGUGGUGGCCACUAUUAUUGAGCCUAAAGCGUCCGUAGCCGGACCCGUAAAUCCCUGGGUAAAUCCUGGCGCUCAACGUCAGGAAUUCCGGGGAGACUGCGGGUCUUGGGACCGGGAGAGGCCGGAGGUACUCCCGGGGUAGGGGUAAAAUCCUGUAAUCCCGGGGGGACCACCUGUGGCGAAAGCGUCCGGCUUGAACGGCUCCGACGGUGAGGGACGAAGGCCAGGGGAGCAAACCGGAU